rnacentral:rRNA from 1 species
AGAGUUUGAUUCUGGCUCAGGAUGAACGCUAGCGGGAGGCUUAACACAUGCAAGUCGAGGGGCAGCAUAGGGUAGCAAUACUCUGAUGGCGACCGGCAAACGGGUGAGUAACGCGUAUGCAACCUACCCUGUACAGGGGGAUAACCCGGAGAAAUUCGGACUAAUAUCCCGUAAUAAUAUCCGGAGGCAUCUUUGGAUAUUUAAAGUUCCGACGGUACGGGAUGGGCAUGCGUAACAUUGGCUGGUUGGUAAGGUAACGGCUUACCAAGGCUAUGACGUUUAGGGGUCCUGAGAGGGUGGUCCCCCACACUGGUACUGAGACACGGACCAGACUCCUACGGGAGGCAGCAGUGAGGAAUAUUGGUCAAUGGGCGCAAGCCUGAACCAGCCAUCCCGCGUGCAGGAAGACGGCCCUAUGGGUUGUAAACUGCUUUUCCAGGGAGAGAAACUUACGCACGUGUUGCGUGACUGACGGUACCCUGGGAAUAAGCAUCGGCUAACUCCGUGCCAGCAGCCGCGGUAAUACGGAGGAUGCAAGCGUUAUCCGGAUUCAUUGGGUUUAAAGGGUGCGUAGGCGGGCUAUUAAGUCAGUGGUGAAAUCCUGCAGCUUAACUGCAGAACUGCCGUUGAUACUGAUAGUCUUGAGUUUGGUUAAGGUAGGCGGAAUGUGUAAUGUAGCGGUGAAAUGCUUAGAUAUUACACAGAACACCAAUUGCGUAGGCAGCUUACUGAGCCGACACUGACGCUGAGGCACGAAAGCGUGGGGAUCAAACAGGAUUAGAUACCCUGGUAGUCCACGCCGUAAACGAUGAUUACUCGCUGUUGGCGAUACACUGUCAGCGGCUAAGCAAAAGCAAUAAGUAAUCCACCUGGGGAGUACGGCCGCAAGGUUGAAACUCAAAGGAAUUGACGGGGGCCCGCACAAGCGGA